GAUGAACGCUAGCGGGAGGCCUAACACAUGCAAGCCGAGCGGUAUUGUUUCUUCGGAAAUGAGAGAGCGGCGUACGGGUGCGUAACACGUGUGCAACCUGCCUUUAUCUGGGGGAUAGCCUUUCGAAAGGAAGAUUAAUACUCCAUAAUAUAUUGAACGGCAUCGUUUAAUAUUGAAAGCUCCGGCGGAUAGAGAUGGGCACGCGCAAGAUUAGCUAGUUGGUGAGGUAACGGCUCACCAAGGCGAUGAUCUUUAGGGGGCCUGAGAGGGUGAUCCCCCACACUGGUACUGAGACACGGACCAGACUCCUACGGGAGGCAGCAGUGAGGAAUAUUGAUCAAUGGGUGCAAGCCUGAACCAGCCAUCCCGCGUGAAGGACGACUGCCCUAUGGGUUGUAAACUUCUUUUGUAUAGGGAGAAACCUACCCUCGAGAGGGUAGCUGAAGGUACUAUACGAAUAAGCACCGGCUAACUCCGUG
rnacentral:rRNA from 1 species